rnacentral:lncRNA from 1 species
UGACAACGUUAGGUUCCACACCUCUUUGAUUCAUUAUCUUGAUUAUAUUCUGUGCAUUUGAAACCAGUCCUUUCUUACAAAGAGUGUCGAUCAAUAUAUUGAAGGUAAAAACAUUAGGGGAUAUGUUCCUCCCCACCAUUUCUUUCAACAAGGCCAAAGCUUCCUUGAAUUGGUCUGAAAUGCAAAGACCAUCAAUUAAGGAUGUGUAUGUGAUCGCAUCAGGCUCUACACCUCUUUGAAUCAUUACAUUGAAUGUAUUUUGAGCCUCUGAAACCAUUCCAUCCUUACAAAGAGCAUCAAUCAAUACAUUGAAGGUAUAAACAUUUGGUAAUAUGUUCUGCUCCACCAUUUCAUUCAUCAAGGCCAGAGCUUGGUUCUUUUGGCCUAAUUUGCAAACACCGUGAAUUAAACCAGUGUAAGUGAUGACAUCAGGUGAAAUGCCCUUAUUCCUCAUUUGAGAGAAGAGCUCUAAAGCCUCACCAACUAGCUCAUCCUUGCAAAGGGCGUCAAUGAUUGCACUGUAUGUCACAACAUCUGGCUCACAACCUCUAUCAGCCAUUCCCUUUAGUAGCCCAAUAGCCAUAUUUGUUUUCCCAAAUUUACACAUUCCGUUUAUUAUCACAUUGAAAGUACGAACAUCAGGUUGAUAACCACGUGCAACCAUAUCAUCGAAAAAUUCCAUUGCUUUGUCGAUUUUACUCUCUAUACAAAGCCCAUUAAUUAAGGUAGUAAAUGUCACAGUGGUAGGCUCCAAUCCGAAUUUGAGCAUCUUACCAAAAACAGAGAAGCCAAAAUCCACAAGGUGUAAAUGGCAGAAGCAAUUAAUUAAGAUGCUAAGAGAAUAAACAUCGUGUGAGAUUCCUAGCAAUUCAAUUGUUUUGGACAUGGAAAAGACAGUGUGAUAUUGUUUCAUUUUCACAAGGGCAGAUAAGAAUCUGUUAAAUGGAACCCUAGAAGGCAGAGGAUGCUUAUGAAUUACAUGAUUGAAGGAAGCAAUGGCAUCAUCAAGGUGGGUAAAAGAAGCAGAUUUGAAAUUAUUUGUCAAGAAGCGUGCAUCUUCAAGUGUGGAAGUAGAAGAAUGGCAAUAAUUGGUAAAUAAGAAUAGGAAUGGAGAUUGAAUGGUACCAAUUGCCCCUUGUAGCUGAAGAUGGAAGCUCCAGCUCUUCCUCCUCCAAGACAUCUUCAUCAUCAUCGAUCUCUCGCCAGUUGUUUUUAGGGAUGGAUGGGAGAUUGGGAAUGAGGAAAGGAAAUAGAGAAUCGGAAAAGAAAGCCUCUCUGCCUGCUGGCAAAGGAAAUGCAUUACUCGUUGUAAUUUUUUAUUAAAUUUUCAUAUAAAAAUAUUAUUUAAUAACAAAUUAAAUUUAUAUAAUAAUAAUUUAUCAUUGCUAAAGUGCUAUUGGCUAUUGCCUAUUUGUAGACACUGUGUAUGUUAAUUAUAUACAUAUAUAUAUUAAUUCUAUAUUAUCUUUUAUAUAUAAUAUUGGGUAUCUAAUUAAAGGCGGUUACAUAAAUAGUUAAUUUUAUUUUUAAUAUUGAUUAAAAUUUCAUGAAAAAUCUAAUUGAUUUUUAGUUUAUAUAAUUUUUUAUUAUUAAUGACUUUUUUAGUGUAAUAAAAUGAAUUUUUUUUACCAAGCUUUACUCUUAUAAGAAUUGUUUAACGUAUUUUUUAUUUGAAUAAUAUUACAAUUUUAAUUAAUAUAAUAAAAAAUUAAUAUAUAAAAUUAUUUUAAUAUAAUAAAAUUUUGAAAUGCUCAAACUCACUACAUAUAUUUCGCAUUUUCAAUUUUAUUUGUUAUUACUAUUAAAAUUUUGAAACUAAUUAUAAAAAUAUGAAAUUAUUAAAAAUUUAAAUACUUUAAAAUCCAUUCUUUAUAUUAUUUUUAUAAAAUAGUAUAGAGUACUAAUACUUUUAUUUUUAUAUCUAUUUAUUAUAAUAUUUUAAAAAAAUAAUUCUUAUGCCGAUUUAAUAUUUUUAUCAAUUGUUUCGUUGUUAAAAAUUAUUAGCAUGAAUUAUUUAUUAUGAGAAAGUUUUAGCCACACAGUCAAAGAUAAUCAUUAUAAAAUUAAUACUUUUACCCUCUUGUUGGAAUUAAAAAUUUUAUAAAAAUUUAAUUCAAUUGAAUUUUUUUCUUAUAAAAUUUUUAUUUAAAAUAAAAGAAUUCAAAAUUUUUUAAAUUAAAAAUUUUUUCUCAUAUAUAAAAAUUAUAAAUAAUUUUAUAAAAAUUCAUUUAAAUUUUUUUAUUGUAAAAUUAUUUAUACUAAACAAAUGGUUAAUGAUUUUUUAAGUAGAAAGUUUUGAAUUUUAGUUAGUUCAAUGUAUUAAAUUACAAUAAAGUUUAAUUUCAAUUUAAAUUGAAAAUUAAUAUAGUUAAUUAAUUAAAUAUUUUUAAAUAGCAAUAAAAUACAAUAACCUUAUAAUUAUUAAAUGUAGUUUUGGCAAUUUAAAUAAUAACAGCUUCUUAAUUAUUUAUAUUUAAAUUAUCAUUUUUAUAUUUUAAAUUCUAGCACUAUCAUUUAUAGUCAUGUAUAAAAUAAACUCAAGGAUAUAAUAUUAAAAAAAAAAACUAAAAUGCUUCAAGUAUAUAAUAUAAAGAAAAAAAAAUCUAAAAUGCUCCCAAUCUCCAAUGUCACGAUAUUUAUAAUUAAUAAUUUAUGUUAGUUUAAAAAUAUGUCAUAAGAGAGACAACAAAAUAAAUAUGUCAUAACAUGUUUGACUCUAGUGCACUCUAUUGAGAAAUAAAAUUUGCACACCUAAAAAUAUUUUGCUUUAGAGUCAAAAAAUCGAAAACUCUUGGAUCCCGGUAUCUAAAGGCAACAAUCGAUGUGGUAUUUCUCGAAAACAGAAGUUAAUAAAAAAUGAAAAUAAUAUAAAGAGAAUUUAAGCACAUAAUCUCACAAUUUGAAUAAAACCUAAAUUUGAAUUAACUUUCAACUGAAAAGAAUUGUUUAGCCUCUAAGGGACAUGAUAAAAUUAUCAAAACUAAAGAGAAGAAGAAGGGGGCGGCAAGGAGGUGGCCGAAUUUGAGAGGGGACAAGAAAAAAAGAAAAAUAUAAUACCUAGAUUAAUUUGUGGAUAGCCUUUAUAUAGGUUUUUCCCCAAUAAAAUAAUAAAUAUUCACAAUUUAAAAUAAACUCUUACUUCUAUUUUAUUCAUAUACUAAUCUGAUUGUGUUUGCUCCAAUUUAAGUUGAUCUUAUUCUUGUACAGCUGAAAAAAUUGGGCUGAAAAAAUUGAGCUGAAAUUGCAUUUGUUGAAAUUGGAGCUGUCUAUCGCUCUAAGGCUGUAAUCCUCAAUUCAAAAAUCUUUUGAUUAAGCCUCUUCUCGUUCAUUUUCUUAACUUCGCUAAAAGAUUUGUACAAAAUCAAAUUUCAAGUAAAAAAUUAAUUAUUUAUAUUAAAAUCAUAGUAAAAUCAUGAAAUUUAAUAACAAAAAAAGUGGUUAGUUCUGCGACUCAUCGAACUUAUAAUUAUUAAAUAUAGUUUUGGCAAUCGAAACAAUAAUAGCUUAUUAUUUAAACUUAUAUCUUAAAUUCUAAAACUACCAUUUAUGGACAUAUUGAUUCUAAGCGAUGCAUUUUAGUGAGAAAUAAGGUCUCGAUACCCAAAGGUAUUUGGCUUUAGGGCCGAAAGAUCGAAAACUCUUAGAUCUCGGCAUCCAAAAUGCUAAAUGAGUGUCGAAACCUUAAAAUUUCGGCCUCGAGGCUAAUAUCAACACGAGGUCUCAGCCUUAGAAUUGAAACCAAACGUGACAACCAUGGAGCCGAAGGCUUCGGCCUACUAGGCCGAAAUUCAAAUAGACGACGUUGUUCAAAUCACGUAAAAGUCAUACGAAAAUUAGGACUCUAAAUCACAUACGAUAAAAAAUGUUCUCAAAGUAAAAUUCUACAAUUUAGGACUAAAAUAGAUUUCAGAAAAGAAUUCUAGUUCUACCAAGAAUCAACCAGCUUUAGACCUAUAAAAAAGACACCCAUGUAUGUUAAACACUCUUUUAAUCAAACUAUUCUCCAUACCUUUUAUUUUGAAAUUUCUGAUUAAAUCACUUAUUGACCUAAGUAUCACAAAAGUUAUCCACAACCAACCAUCCCAUUUUUAUUUAUUUUGUAAAUUUAUAUCCGACAUUAUAUCUGCUGAGAAGAUCAGAAUACUAUCACUAAAAAGUAUUAUUGAUAUUAAUCACAAUACAUUUUACAUAUAUUUUAGGACAAAUCUAUACAUGGAUUUACUUGAAUUUAUAUUUUAUUAAGUAUAAAAUCAAUCUUUAUUCAUAUUAUUUACAUAAAAGCAGAAACAUGGUAAAAUCAAGACUUUUUAUUUUUUAAAAAAUAAAUAAUUUUAAAUUUUGUAUAUUAAAUUAAAUUUUAACAGAUUUAUCAAAUGAAUAUAAAACGUUGGAUAUAAAACUUAAAAAAAAAAAGUGUUUCUCUAACAUAUUUUAAGAGAGCAAUUAUUAAAAGUGUAAAAUAAAUUGAUAAUAAUUAAUAAUAUUUGCUAUAAGGUUAAUAGAAAAAUUUAAAUAAAGUUAUAUAAAUAUUUGUUAUUAUAUUUUUUUUAUAACAACUCCCUUUAUUAUUGAGAAAAAACUCAAAUUUGAUUCGAAAUCCUAUACUAUCUCUUACUGCAUUAGAGUUAUUUAUUUUAUUUUAUUAGUUUCAUAAAUUAUUUUGCUUUUUUUUAAAAAAAUCAUUAGUUUUUCCCUAUUAUAAAUUAAAUGUAUAAUUUUUUUUCUCAGUAAAAAAUUAAAUUUUUAAUUUUUAUUUUACAAUAUAUAGACAAACAAUCCUAUUUGUUGUCUAUGUGACUUCUCUUACCUGAAUUAAAUAUUUUAAAAAAAAAUUUAUCAUAUAGGGUAGGGAGAUAUUUAUAGGCCUUUAUAAUUUUAAUGGCAAAUAUUUAAAAAAAAAAAAAUUAUUUCACACAGAAAAGCUACAUAUAGAUACCUAGCCGGAGAUUCACUGGAUUAUAAUGAAAGUUGCUGUUUAAAAUUCAAAUAGGAAGAUGAAGAUGAGUGAUAUUUAUGAAAUAAAAUUAAGUGACCACGGGUAAAAAUUAACUGUGUACGCUAAAAUGCAUUUCUCAUACUCUAAGUGGCCAACUUCCUAACUUAUUUUGACAUCAACUUUAUCAACUUUAUCUCCUAAUAGAUUUAAAAAAACUUAUUGAAUUAAUAAAAACUAGAUAUAUAUUUAUAGCUCUAAACUUUAUUAAAAAUUUUUUAUAACAUCUUAAAUUUUUAUAGCAUCCUAGGUCACACUUGAAUUAUUCAAAAUGUAAUUAAAAUGACCUUCUAAUCUUAGUAUAAAAUAGUAUGUAAUAUCAAAUUGUUAUCUAAUUUCACCUUUAAUAAUUACUUAAUAAUAAUAAAAUUAUACACAAUGCAUAAAUUUUAAAAUUAAAAUUCACCAUAUAUAUUUUAUAUUAAAAAAUAAAUCUUCUUACUAAAUUAAAAUUGAUUUAUAAACACCGUAAAAGAUUCAUGGUAUAUUAAGAUUGUGAGACUAUUUUAACUUUACUUCCUUUUUAGAGUUUAAAGUAAUAUAAAUAUAUGCCAUUAAAAUAUAUGAUCUGACGUGACAUUGCAUAUAAUAGUUUAUCAAUAAUUAACAAUUAUUACUUCUUGUUUUAUGAUAUACAUUAAAACGAUAUACAUAUAUAAUAUAGAUAAAAAAAUUUUUACUCAAUUGAGUAUUUUUAUAUAUUUUACUUAUAAUUUAGAUGUUAUGUCAUUUAAUUUAUUAUUAAAUAUUAAAAAUUAUUAACGACUAUUUUUUUUGAUAGUUGGUUGUUAGAAGUUUCAUCAUUAAAAUUUUUUAAUAAAAAUAUCAUAUAUUAGUUAUUAAUACUAAUUACAACAAUUCGAUCGUAAUAACUAUAAAUUUAUCUUUUAUUAAUAAUAAUUAAUGGGGUGAUAAAAAAAUUUUAAUAACAACAAUAAAAGUUGUUGUUAUAAUUUAAAUAAAAAAUUAUUACUUUCUUUUAUAAUAAAUUUAAAAUAUAAUAAUAAUUAAAAAUAAUUAAAUAAAUAAUAUUUUCAAUAAAAAUGUAAAAUUCAAUUUAUACUAUUAUAAAUUAAUUUACAAUGAUCUAUAAAAAUGAUCUAUAAAUCAUAUUAUUUAUUAAUUUAUAGUAAUUUUAGAUGAUAUCUCUUUUUUUGUUUUUAUAUAAAAUUUAAAAUAUAUAUAUAUUUCCACUUUAAUAAAUUACAUUAUUAAACAUUAUAUACGUGUCAUGAGAAAAGUUAAAGGGUACAUUUGUUAUCAUUGUUAUUUCUUUUUUUUUUUNNNNNNNNNNNNNNNNNNNNNNNNNNNNNNNNNNNNNNNNNNNNNNNNNNNNNNNNNNNNNNNNNNNNNNNNNNNNNNNNNNNNNNNNNNNNNNNNNNNNNNNNNNNNNNNNNNNNNNNNNNNNNNNNNNNNNNNNNNNNNNNNNNNNNNNNNNNNNNNNNNNNNNNNNNNNNNNNNNNNNNNNNNNNNNNNNNNNNNNNNNNNNNNNNNNNNNNNNNNNNNNNNNNNNNNNNNNNNNNNNNNNNNNNNNNNNNNNNNNNNNNNNNNNNNNNNNNNNNNNNNNNNNNNNNNNNNNNNNNNNNNNNNNNNNNNNNNNNNNNNNNNNNNNNNNNNNNNNNNNNNNNNNNNNNNNNNNNNNNNNNNNNNNNNNNNNNNNNNNNNNNNNNNNNNNNNNNNNNNNNNNNNNNNNNNNNNNNNNNNNNNNNNNNNNNNNNNNNNNNNNNNNNNNNNNNNNNNNNNNNNNNNNNNNNNNNNNNNNNNNNNNNNNNNNNNNNNNNNNNNNNNNNNNNNNNNNNNNNNNNNNNNNNNNNNNNNNNNNNNNNNNNNNNNNNNNNNNNNNNNNNNNNNNNNNNNNNNNNNNNNNNNNNNNNNNNNNNNNNNNNNNNNNNNNNNNNNNNNNNNNNNNNNNNNNNNNNNNNNNNNNNNNNNNNNNNNNNNNNNNNNNNNNNNNNNNNNNNNNNNNNNNNNNNNNNNNNNNNNNNNNNNNNNNNNNNNNNNNNNNNNNNNNNNNNNNNNNNNNNNNNNNNNNNNNNNNNNNNNNNNNNNNNNNNNNNNNNNNNNNNNNNNNNNNNNNNNNNNNNNNNNNNNNNNNNNNNNNNNNNNNNNNNNNNNNNNNNNNNNNNNNNNNNNNNNNNNNNNNNNNNNNNNNNNNNNNNNNNNNNNNNNNNNNNNNNNNNNNNNNNNNNNNNNNNNNNNNNNNNNNNNNNNNNNNNNNNNNNNNNNNNNNNNNNNNNNNNNNNNNNNNNNNNNNNNNNNNNNNNNNNNNNNNNNNNNNNNNNNNNNNNNNNNNNNNNNNAAAGCAAUUAAGGAUCUAUAUAUAUAUAUAUAUACCCAACUUGAUGACUAGAAAAAAAAAAAAAAGGUGACAAAGACGAUGUUUGCUUUUCCCUCAAUUCCCAUAACAUUUUCUGUUGUCUAUAAUUUUAGUGACAUUUCAUCCAACCAACAGCUGUAGAAGUCUAGUGAUUCUCUUACCUUGUACUCUGGGACUGUAUAUCCUGCACCCUGCAUUUACAGUGUAGUCUAAUUUUUAAAUCAAUUCUCAAUUAAAGCACACUGGUUUAUAAUCAUUACUUUCAUUAUUAUUAAAAAUAUAAUAAUUAAGAAAAAAAGAACUGCCUAUACCUUUAUUGUUAGAAAGGUGAAGUUGUAAUCAUAUCCUUGCAAGUACCUACAAGAGAAAUGAUAGCAUUUUAAAAAGUCAUUGAGCACAAAAACAAAAAUAGAUAAAGAUUCUUAAGCAUUGUAGUAUGGAACCAAUUAGUUUUAGUUCUCAACUCAAUUUUAGGACUGAGCUCUCGAGUUAAGGCUGUAGUAGCAGCCAAAAAAAAAUUGUAAAGCAGAUGGUGGGUUUACCAGCAACUUGAUCAUUAGAAAUCCAUGACCUCCAUUCAUCAACAAUCUUAUAUCAAAGAGAUCAAGUCCAUGUCUGAAUUCAAGCGAAAGGCACACACAUAUCAUGGUUUCCACCACAGGUAAUUUGCAGUGUUAGAAAUUUUCAUUUUGUGGAAGAGAAUCACAGCAGUUUGAAAUUAAAAAUGAUAUUUGAAGAAGGUAGUUAAAUUACAUAUCUAUUAUAUUUGAAAAAGGUAAUUACCAAGUUGCGCUCCAAGACACACUUGAAUGGUCAAGAUAUAACAAAUUUAGUUUGCUGAUCCCUCAUUGCGCACCUUUAAAAGCCUCAGAAUGAGAUCAUUAUUCCGCGAUAAAUGUACUACCAAUUCUGUGGUAGCAUCAUCAGCAGAGAACCCCUUAUCAACCAUUUCGUUGAUUAGUUCUGAUGCUUUUGGUAAAUCCUUAUGCUUGAGAAACCCUUGAAUGAUGAUAUUAUAACACCAAUUAUUCGGUAAACAUCCUCCCUUUUCCAUGUCUCUAAAAAUCUUAUAUGCUUCGUCUAUUAAUCCUUCUCGGCAGAGUCCUUUCAUAAUUGCACAAUAUAUAUGAACAUUAGGUUGUAAACCAUUUUCAAAAAGACUAGAAAACAGUUCCUUGGCAUCAUUAAUCUUGCCAGCUUUGCACAUACCAUUGAUCAGAAUGCAAUAGGUCACAAGAUUAGGCUUCAACUGACUUUCCUCCAUUUCUUUCAAUAGGGUGAGUGCUUCAUCGAGAUUCCCCUGUCUACACAAGCCAUCAAUCAUAAUUGAGAAGGUUACUAUAUUUGGCUGUUGACCAUGAGAGCACAUAUUCUUAAAGAGCUCUUGUGCAGUUUGGGGCCUCCCUGCUUGAAACAUACCCUCUAUAAGAGUAGAAUAAGUAACAACAUUAGGAACUAAACCUUUAUCAGACAUUUCAUCAAAAAGUUCCUUUGCAUCAUCUAUCAUUUUGCACUUACAAUAUCCAUUGAUCAAAAUGCUGUAGCUAAAAAAGUCAGCUAUUUCAUUGGUCACCAUCAGAUCAAAUAGCUUUCUAGCCUUAUCAAUUUGCUUGCACAGACAAUAUCCAUCCAUCAAUGAAUUAUAAUUGACAACAUUAGGUUCCACACCUCUUUGAAUCAUUAUCUUGAUUAUAUUCUGUGCAUUUGAAACCAAUCCUUUCUUACAAAGAGUGUCGAUCAAUAUAUUGAAGGUAAAAACAUUAGGGGAUAUGUUCCUCCCCAUCAUUUCUUUCAACAAGGCCAAAGCUUCCUUGAAUUGGUCUGAAAUGCAAAGACCAUCAAUUAAGGAAGUGUAUGUGAUCACAUCAGGCUCUACACCUCUUUGAAUCAUUACAUUGAAUGUAUUUUGAGCCUCUGAAACCAUUCCAUCCUUACAAAGAGCAUCGAUCAAUACACUGAAGGUAUAAACAUUUGGUAAUAUGUUCUGCUCCACCAUUUCAUUCAUCAAGGCCAAAGCUUGGUUCUUUUGGCCUAAUUUGCAAACACCGUGAAGUAAACUAUUGUAAGUGAUGACAUCAGGUGAAAUGCCCUUAUUCCUCAUUUGAGAGAAGAGCUCUAAAGCCUCACCAACUAGCUCAUCCUUGCAAAGGGCGUCAAUGAUUGCACUGUAUGUGACAACAUUUGGCUCACAAUCUCCAUCAGCCAUUCCCUUUAGUAGCCCAAUAGCCACACUUGUUUUCCCAAAUUUACACAUUCCGUUUAUUAUCACACUGUAAGUACGAACAUUAGGUUGAUAACCACGUGCAACCAUAUCAUCGAAAAAUUCCACUGCUUUGUCGAUUUUACUCUCCAUACAAAGCCCAUUAAUUAAGGUAGUAAAUGUCACAGUGGUAGGCUCCAAUCCAAAUUUUAGCAUCUUACCAAAAACAGAGAAGCCAAAAUCCACAAGGUGUAAGUGGCAGAAGCAAUUAAUUAAGAUACUAAGAGAAUAAACAUCGUGUGAGAUUCCUAGCAAUUCAAUUGUUUUGGACAUGGAGUAGACAGUGUGAUAUUGUUUCAUUUUCACAAGGGCAGAUAAGAAUCUACUAAAUUGAGCCCUAGAAGGAAGAGGAUGCAUAUGAAUUACAUGAUUAAAGGAAGCAAUGGCAUCAUCAAGGCGGGUAAAAGAAGCAGAUUUGAAGUUAUUUGUCAAGAAGCGUGCAUCUUCAAGUGUGGAAGUAGAAGAAUGGCAAUAAUUGGUAAAUGAGAAUAGGAAUGGAGAUUGAAUGGUACCAAUUGCCCCUUGUAGCUGAAGAUGGAAGCUCCUGCUCUUCCUCCUCCAAGGCAUCUUCAUCAUCAUCGAUCUCUCGUCAGUUGUUUUUAGGGAUGGAUCGGAGAUUGGGAAUGAGGAAAGGAAAUAGAGAAUCGGAAAAGGAAGGCUCUCUGCCAGCUGGUAAAGUGGUAAGGAUAAAAAGGAAAUUGGGAAAGGAAAUGCAUUACUAGUUGUUUAUAUGCAGCACAUUUUGUAAUUUUUUUUUAAUUAAUUUUUCAUAUAAAAAUAUUAUUUAAUAACAAAUUAAAUUAAUUAUUUUAUAUUAUUAUAAUAUUAAAUUAUUAUAACUGUACCUUAUAACAGUGUAGAGCGGGGAUGGGUUAUGGUUUCUGGGAAGUCGAUAGAGAAGGAUGAUGGAAAAGUGGUUAAACUGCAUAAACAGUACACAGGAUAUUAAAUUAUUAUAAUAUUAAUUUUAAUUAUUAAAUAUUUUACAUUUUAAUCUCUAUAAUAUUAAAAAUUUAUUAAUUAAAGUUUCAAUUUUAUAAAAGUAUUUAUUAAUUAUUUCAUCCAUAUUGAAAAUAUUUUAAUUUUUUUAAGUAAAAUUUACUAUUUAAUUUUUAUAAUAUAAAAAACACAUUAAUUACUUCUUUUAUUUUGAAAAAUAUAUCAAAAUAUUUUUAAAAUAUUAAAAAUAUAUUAAUUAGUCCUCCCAUUAAUUUUAUUUAUUAAAUAUUUUACUAUUUAAUUUAUGUAGUAAGAGAAAAUUUAUUAGUUAAUCUCUUAAUUUUAUAAAAAUAUUUACUAAUUAAUUUUUUCAUAUUAAAACAUUUCAAAAAUCAUGAAGGGAUAUUGAAUAUAUCCUAAAUUAGUCGUUAUUUUUUAUCAUUAAAACUAUAUUUGUUAUGGUGUAAUAUUUUUUAUAAAAUAUUUUUUAUAAAACAAAAUAAAGUCUUAAUUUUUAUAUUAACUUUAAUUCAAGGAUUUGGUGUCAAACGAAUAUAUAUAUAUAUAUAUAUAUAUAUCAGUGCAAUAUUAUUUUGCCAGCAAUUCUCAUAAGAAAUAAAAAUCAAUGCAUAAAUAGAAAAAAUAAAACUAGAAAAAAAGAAGUAUAUAAAUGGGAGAUAUAAUUGGUAAAAUUACUGAGAAUUUGCCAUGAAGAGUCCAAAAAAUUACUUUAAAAUAUAAAAGAGUGAAUUAUUUUUGGUUCUUAUAUUUUAUCAAAAUUGACUAUUUAAUUUUUUAUUUCUAUGUUAUUCAAUUAAAAUAAAUUUUUAUAUUAUUUAUUUAUUUUAAUUAUACAUAUAUAAUUUAGUUGUUCUAAUCAAAUCUAAAAAUAUAUUUAUUAAUAUUUUAAUUGAUAAGAAUAUCAAAGGGUUUGACUUUAUAAAACAACCGAAAUAACUUUUUUUGCGUAACUUAACUAACAUCUCAAACAGUACAUCCAAUCACCUUGGCACAAAAUAAAGAAUCUAAAAGGGAAGAAUAUAUAUAUAUACCUUCCACAAGCAUUUCUAAAAUUCAAAUUUUCAUGUUAAAAAAUUGAUUUCAUUGGAAAAGAUUGUGAACUUCAUAUUAUUAGAUGUUAAUGCAAUGAUUUCACUGAUUUGAUUUGAAGGAAAAUAAAAGAAAUUAAGCAACUUCAUGACUAGACAAAAAAAGGUGACAAAGACCCUCUAGUGAUUCUCUUACCUUAAACUCUAGGAUGGUAUAUCAUGCAUCUUGCAUUUAUAAUGUAGUCUAAUUGUUAAAUUAAUUCUCAAUUAAAGCACAGUGAUUUAUAAUCAUUAUUUUCAUUAUUAUUAAAAAUAUAAUAAUUAAGCAAAAAAGAAUUGCUUAUACCUUUAUUGUUAGAAAGGUGAAAUUGUAAUCAUAUUCUUGCAAAGUACCUACAAGAGAAAUGAUAGCAUUUUAAAAGGUCACUGAGCACAAAAAUAAAAAUAGAUAAAAAUUCUUAAGCAUUGUAGUAUGGAACCAAUUAAUUUUAGUUCUCAACUCAUUUUUAGGACUGAGCUCUAGAGGUAAGGCUGUAGUAGCAGCAAAAAAAAAAUUAUAAAGGAGAUGGUGGGUUUAGCAGCAACUUGAUCGUUAGAAAUCCAUGACCUCCAUUCAUGAACAAUCUUAUAUCAAAGAGAUCAAGUGUAUGUCUGAAUUCAAGCGAAAGGCACACACAUAUCAUGGUUUCCACUACAGGUCAUUUGCGGUGUUAGAAAUUUUCAAUUUGUGGAAGAAAAUCACAGCUGAUUGAAAUUAAAAAUUGAUAUUUGAAGAAGUUAGUUAAAUUACAUAUCUAUUAUAUUUGAAAUAGAUAAUUACCAAGUUGCGCUCCAAGACACACUUAAUGGUCAAGAUAUAACAACUUUUGCUAAUCCCUCGUUGCUUGCUUUUGGUAAAUCUUCAUGCUUGAGAAACCCUUGAAUGAUGAUAUUAUAACAACAAUUAUUCGGUAAACAUCCUCCUAUUCCAUGUCUCUAAAAAUCUUAUAUAAAAAUCUUAUAUGCUUCGUCUAUUAAUUCUUAAAUUCCAAGCACUAUUAACAGUGUAAGUCUAUGAGUUUCUAUUUAAUAGAAUCUGCCCAUUCAUUGCUUACAUAAAAUUUUCGAACCUCUUCCCAGGCUCCUUCCAUAGUGGAAUCCAAUGGAUUAGGAAGCCUCCACAUACCAUCCCUCCAAACCUUCCUCACCUUAGCAUGUCUAUGAUGUCAGAAUAUCCCAUAUUCAACUCAGAGGCCUCUCAACAAGACUUUUCCCACCCAUGCAAGGGUCAUACCAAAAUGAAAAACCCCUCUUCCCAACUUAUAUGCAUAAUGCUUUCUAAAAUAAUCUCUAAUUUUCAUCAGAUUCUUUCAAGAUCAACUAGCAUUACAAGGUUUAGAGAUCCCCAAAAACUGAGGCUUUUCAACUUAUUCCUCACCAUGUACCCUACCAGCAUAGGAUAAUUAUUUAGCAGACCAUGAGUCAAUUCUACUAGUUAAUAUACUAAUAAGCUUCUGACAAUGCUCUUUUUUAAUACUAGUAGAUACCAGAGGUAAUCCCAAAUAGAUAACAGGAAGAAAUCCCUCCCUGAAAUUGAGGAAUUGUAGAAUUUGCUGCUUCAUCUCCUCAAGCACUCUUGCAAGAUAAACACAGCUCUUAGACUCAUUUACUUGCAAUCCUAAAACCUCCUCAACUUCAAGGCCUCUCCAAGCCCACAGACCAAAUUCCUAGCCCCAUGACAAAACAAAAACAAAUCAUCUACAAAGCAAAGUGACUCAAUGUUGCUUCUUUACACCCUUUACGAAAUUUGAACCAGAUUUUCAAUUGCAAUUUCGUUUGCAAUUUUUAUUUAACCGAUCCAAAAUAAUUACAAACAUCACAAAACCAACCUAUUAAAUGCAUAAUAUAACACAAAUCAACCACAAAUCUAAUGUAUUCAAUUAUAAUAAAAAGAAAAGUCUUUUGAACUUAAAAUUGAACACAAAUAAUCUAGUAAAACCACAAAAAAUGUAUAAUUAAAAGCAUGUUUUUGUAGUAAAUGCCAAAAUAAAUAGUACCCCAAAAUGUAUACAACAAGUAAUCAACAAAAAUCCUCGAUUUGCUCAUCUAAUCCAUCUUCAUCUCAGGCAUGCGGGAAAAGACCCGGUGGACUGGUGGAAGAGAUACUGCACCACGCUCAAUCUCUGAUGUACCUGUUGCAAAAACUCAAAUUAAUACUUAAACUCAACAAGUAGGUGUUAAAACUUGCACUCAAGGAGUAAGUAUUAACUCUAGAUCAAGUUAUAAGUAUUAACUCAAGGAGCAACAAAUAGAAAUUAUUUUGAGCAUAAACUUACUACAAGUAAUAAACUAGCAAUAAAUAGACAUCAUUUUGGAAGCAUAAACUAAUUACAAGUAAUGCAUGUAUAUGAUAAACUAGUAGGUGUUAAAUUCUAAUGGACGGAAACAGGCAUGAGUAGCUUUGGUAAAAUGAUACAGAAAGCAGGUGUUAACACCUGCUAGUUCACUGAUUUAACACCUGCAUUCUUACUAGUAAAAAUCAAAAUACAUGAUAAAAUCUCCAAGUUAUUGUCCUAAUGCAGCAUGUUUACUGAAAAAUGAUAGCAUCUUAAAAGGUCAUUGAGCACAAAAGUAAAAUAGAUAAAGAUUCUUAAGCAUUGUAGCAUGGAAUCAAUUAGUUUUAGUUCUCAACUCAUUUUUAGGAUUGAGCUCUCGAGUUAAGGCUAUAGUAGCAGCCCAAAAAAAAUUGUAAGGAAUAUGGUGGGUUUACCAGCAACUUGAUCAUUAGAAAUCCAUGACCUCCAUUCAUCAACAAUCUUAUAUCAAAGAGAUCAAGUCCAUGUCUGAAUUCAAGCGAAAGGCACACACAUAUCAUGGUUUCCACCACAGGUAAUUUGCAGUGUUAGAAAUUUUCAUUUUGUGGAAGAGAAUCACAGCAAUUUGAAAUUAAAAAUGAUAUUUGAAGAAGGUAGUUAAAUUACAUAUCUAUUAUAUUUGAAAAAGGUAAUUACCAAGUUGCGCUCCAAGACACACUUGAAUGGUCAAGAUAUAACAAAUUUAGUUUGCUGAUCCCUCAUUGCGCACCUUUAAAAGCCUCAGAAUGAGAUCAUUAUUCCGCGAUAAAUGUACUACCAAUUCUGUGGUAGCAUCAUCAGCAGAGAACCCCUUAUCAACCAUUUCGUAUAUUAGUUCUGAUGCUUUUGGUAAAUCCUCAUGCCUGAGAAACCCUUGAAUGAUGAUAUUAUAACAACAAUUAUUUGGUAAACAUCCUACCUUUUCCAUGUCUUUAAAUACGUUAUACGCUUCAUCAAUCAAUCCUUGUUGGCAGAGUCCUUUCAUAAUUGCAUAAUAUACAUAAACAUCAGGUUGUAAACCAAUUUCAAAAAGACUAUAAAAAAGUUCCUUGGCAUCAUUAAUCUUCCCAACUUUGCACAUACCAUUGAUCAGACUGCUAUAGAUCACAACAUUAGGUUUCAACUGACUUUUCUCCAUUGCUUUCAACAGUGUGAGUGCCUCAUCGAGAUUCCCCUGUCUACACAAGCCAUCAAUCAUAAUUGAGAAGGUUACUAUAUUUGGUUGUUGACCAUGAGAGCACAUAUCCUUAAAGAGCUCUUUUGCAUUUUGGGGCCUCCCUGCUUGAAAUAUACCCUCUAUAAGCGUAGAAUAAGUAACAACAUCAGGAACUAAACCUUUAUGAGACAUUUCAACAAAAAUAUCCUUUGCAUCAUCUAUCAUUUUGCACUUACAAUAUCCAUUGAUCAAAAUGCUGUAGCUAAAAAUGUCAGCUAUUUCAUUGGUCACCAUCAGAUCAAAUAGCUUUCUAGCCUUAUCAAUUUGCUUGCACAGACAAUAUCCAUCCAUCAAUGAAUUAUAAUUGACAACAUCAGGUUCCACACCUCUUUGAAUCAUUAUCUUGAUUAUAUUCUGUGCAUUUGAAACCAGUCCUUUCUUACAAAGAGUGUCAAUCAAUAUAUUGAAGGUAAAAACAUCAGGGGAUAUGUUCCUCCCCACCAUUUCUUUCAACAAGGCCAAAGCUUCCUUGAAUUGGUCUGAAAUGCAAAGACCAUCAAUUAAGGAAUUGUAGGUGACCACAUCAGGCUCUACACCUCUUUGAACCAUUACAUUGAAUGUAUUUUGAGCCUCUGAAACCAUUCCAUCCUUACAAAGAGCAUCGAUCAAUACAUUGAAGGUAUAAACAUUUGGUAAUAUGUUUUGCUCCACCAUUUCAUUCAUCAAGGCCAAAGCUUGGUUCUUUUGGCCUAAUUUGCAAACACCAUGAAUUAAACUAUUGUAAGUGAUGACAUUAGGUGAAAUGCCCUUAUUCCUCAUUUGAGAGAAGAGCUCUAAAGCCUCACUAACUAGCUCAUCCUUGCAAAGAGCGUCAAUGAUUGCAUUGUAUGUCACAACAUUUGGCUCACAACCUCUAUCAGCCAUUCCCUUUAGUAGCCCAAUAGCCACAUUUGUUUUCCCAAAUUUACACAUUCCGUUUACUAUCACAUUGAAAGUACGAACAUCAGGUUGAUAACCACGUGCAACCAUAUAAUCGAAAAAUUCCACCGCUUUAUCGAUUUUACGCUCCAUACAAAGCCCAUUAAUUAAGGUAUUAAAUGUCACAGUGGUAGGCUCCAAUCCGAAUUUGAGCAUCUUACCAAAAACAGAGAAGCCAAAAUCCACAAGGUGCAAGUGGCAGAAACAAUUAAUUAAGAUGCUAAGAGAAUAAACAUCGUGUGAGAUUCCUAGCAAUUCAAUUGUUUUGGGCAUGGAAAAGACAGUGUGAUAUUGUUUCAUUUUCACAAGGGCAGAUAAGAAUCUACUAAAUUGAGCCCUAGAAGGAAGAGGAUGCUUAUGAAUUACAUGAUUGAAGGAAGCAAUGGCAUCAUGAAGGUGGGUAAAAGAAGCAGAUUUGAAGUUAUUUGUCAAGAAGCGUGCAUCUUCAAGUGUGGAAGUAGAAGAAUGGCAAUAAUUGGUAAAUAAGAAUAGGAAUGGAGAUUGAAUGGUACCAAUUGCCCCUUGUAGCUGAAGAUGGAAGCUCCUGCUCUUCCUCCUCGAAGGCAUCUUCAUCAUCAUGGAUCUCUUGUCAGUUGUUUUUAGGGAUGGAUCGGAGAUUGGGAAUGAGGAAAGGAAAUAGAGAAUCGGAAAAGGAAGGCUCUCUGCCAGCUGGUAAUGUGGUAAGGAUAAUACCUCGUGUACGUUAAAUCAUAUUAUAAUCAAACUAUUUUCUACACCUUCAUUUUGAGAUUUCUAAUAGAUACUCAAGUAUUAUAGGGGUUGUCCACAAUCAACCAUCGGGUGUUUAUUUAUUUUACAAAUUGAUAUCGAUAUUAUACCCAUCAAGAAUGUCAGGAUACUUUCACUAAAAAUUAUUCUUGAUAUUAAUUACACUAUAUUUUAUAUAUAUAAAGUAAAACCAAACUUUUUUCAUAUUGUUUAAAUGAAAGUAAAAUAAAGAUUUUUUAUUGUUUUUAUAGCAAAUCCUUUUAUUAUUGAGAAAAAACUUAAAUUUGAUUCAAAAUUCUAGACUAUCUCUUGCUAGCUGUAUUAGAGUUGUUUAUUUCAUUUUUUUAAUUUCAUAAAUGAUUUUGCUUUUUUAAAAAAAUUAUUAGUUUUUUCCUUUUAUAAAUUAAAUGUAUAAUUUUUUUUCUCAGUAGAAAAGUUAAAUUUUUAUUUUUUUUUAUUUUUUAUUUUGCAAUAUAUAGACAAACAAUCCUAUUUAAUGUAUAUGUUUAAUAAAGGAAUAGCUUAGUUACAUUGAAAAGUGAUAUCUUAAGCAUUAAUUAUACAGUACAAAUUACGUAAUGAUUUUGUGAAUCAUGCUGUAAGCGAAUAUAUAUAUAUAUAUAUGAGUGCAAUUGUGUAGAAAGUGAAUUAAGAAAUUAAUUUGCUUAUUGGUAAAUUGAUAUUUUUAAAUAGGCUUAUGAGCAUUUAAUUUUUAUAUUUUGUCAAAAUUGACCAUUUAAUUUUUUAAUUCUGUCAUUUGGUUAAAAUAAACUUUUAUAUUAUUUAUUUUUUAAUUUUAUAUAUAUAAUUUAAUUUUUUAAAUUAAAGCUAAAAAUAUAUUUACUAAUAUUUUAUUCGAUAAGAAUAUGAAAGAGUUUGAAUUUAUAAAAUUCAAAAUGUUUUAAUUGAGUGAUUUGAAAAUAGAGAUUGAAUAAUUAAUUUUGAUAAAAUAUAAGGAUUUAUUAAUAAUUUAAAUAUAUAAAAAAGAAUUAUUUAAAACUCUCUAAAGUUUCAUAUGAUAACCCCUUACAAGUUUCAGUAGUUCAUCAAACUUGUCAGUAGUGUAAAUAAGUUCGAUUGGCCAUUAAUUUUGGAGUCGAAAUCACUAUCCUGAAACUGUUUAAUCAGUUCUUGUAAUGCUGGAAACUUCAGAUUCUCUACUGAGAUUUAAUAUUUUUUGCUCUCGUCACCCACGUAAAUGGCUACAUAACCUUUUCGAAUUUAUGGGAUUUUAACUUUCAAAUCAGUCGAAUUGGAGAAUAAUUUAUAGGAAAAAGAUUAAGUAAUUGUAUAAUGUUAAUCUAAAAUUUUAGGAAGAAUUUAUUUUCUUGCUAAAAACUCUCUACAAUGAUAUUAUUAUCAAAAUUUUCUAAGUUAAAGGAAAGGUUUGAGUGUGAAGAACUCGAAAGGAAAUUAUAUAGGAGAGAAGAGUAAUUGAGAUUUAAUUUAUAUAUAUGGAUAAGGAGUGGAUUUUUAUGAUAAAAUUUAGAUUUUUAGCAUUAGCUAAAAUUUUUUAGCUGGAUUAAUUUAUUAAUUGGUUUAAAAAAAGUUGCAAAUUAAAACAGUGAAGAAGAAUCUUUAUUAAUUAUCGAAUUAUUUUCAUUUUAAUUUAUUAAUGGUAAUUGCUAAAUAUGGUAAUUAAGUGAUGCUUCAGUUUAUAAUUUUGAGAAUAAAUAAAAUUUCUUUGAUUUUAUGAUUUUAAGUUUCUUAAGAUGGUAGAAUUAGUUUAUAGGUCAGUAGAUUUUUUGUAAGGAGUUUGAAAUGGUUAUAAUAAAAAAAUUAAAUAUUUUAUUUUUUUUAUAUCAACACGAACAUUGUUAAAAAUAACAAAAUUAUUAAAAUUAUUGAAUAAAUUAAUAAAAAUUAAUAAGAUUAGCUAAAAUUAAUCAUGAGUGAAAAUAUUGAAUAACAUAAAAAUUUUGAUUUUUUCUUUUGUUAUUUAAUUUUUUUUAAAGAAAUGAAGAUAACUAUUUUUUAACAAAAGUGGGGCCAUUGAAACUAGAAUUAGCUGCUUCGAUUCAAUUUUUCUUUUCCUUUUUUGUAAAUGUUAUGUAGAUUCCCUUCAUUUUUUUUUUCUUACUAGAAUUUAUUUUCUUUUUGUAGUUUAUUAACUAUCAUACAUUACAAAAUAAUGUUUAAUGGAAAAUUUUAAUUAUAGUUUUAUUAAUAAUGAUGUUUAUAUUAAUUUUAUAUUAUUUAAUUUUAUAUAAUAAGAUAAAUAAUAGAAAAAUAAAAAUAAAAAUACCUUAUAUAUAUAUAUAUAUAUAUUUAUUUAUUGAAAGGUUAAUUUAUGUAAGAGUUUUUUUAUAAUAAAGUUAUAUAUUUAAUUUAAUUAAAAUUAUAUUUUUUUAAAAUAGAAUUUAUAUUUAAAUAAAAAAAAUUCUAACCGAUUAAAUUAAAUAUUUUAUUUUUAAUCAAUUAAAAUAAAGAGUUACUUAUAAUUAUUAAAUUUAACCACCUUUUAUAUUGAAAAUUUCAUUAUUUCCCUUUACUUUCCAUUUAUAUAAAUAUAUAUGUGUAUAUUAUUAAAAAUCAAAUAAUCACAGAUAAAAAAAAUAAGCGAUACACAAAUUUAAUGUGAUUAAUCAAUUUGGCAAGAUCAUGACGAUUAUUUUUUUUUUUAUUUUUCUAUGAAUUUUUGAAUAUAAUACACUAGAAAAAUAUUAUAUUUUUAUAUGUCUAAGAAAAUAUAAAAAAGAUAUAAUAGUUUUAAAAAAUUUACGAUCAUGGAGUAUAAUGUAUAUUUUAUAAUAUAUUAUUAGUUUCCAUAUCUCAACAUAUAUAUAUUUUAUAAAAUAAAAUUUAUAAUAAAUAGAAAAUAAUUUUAACCAAAUAAAUUAAAUAUUUUAGAGAAUAAUUUUUUUUUCAAUAAAUCAAAAUAAAUAGUUAAUUUUACUUUAUGUAUAUAUAUAAUAAGUUUUAGUUUAAAACUAAUAAAUUUAAAACUAAAUAAUUUUAAUUAAAUAAGUAUAUAUAAAAAUUAAUUCACAAACUUGUAAAAACCAAAUUUUUAAAUAUUAACGAUCCCGAUGUCUGCAAGUUUUAAAAGUGUAAUUAAACUAUAUAAAGUUAAAUUUUAAAAAACUAAGAUUGACUUGUGAAAGUAUAUGUAGAGUUUAAACUUAUUUCUCUUAUGAUAUUAAUCUCAACCUAUCACGAGAACACCUAUCUGAUUUGGAGUGAUACACUCUGCUAAUUUCUUCUGGUGCUUCACAUUUCUUGAUUAGUGAUCAUUAAUCUAAUUAAUAUUAAGUAAUCAUAUAGAUUUUACACACUAAUAUUUAAAAAUGUCUCUUUUCUUCUGAAUCCAAGGACCAUACUUACAGAUUCAAGCUCCGGAUUCAAGGCUCUUCUUCUCCAAUACUCUGCAUCGUCAACCAUCAAUAAAAAUAGCGCAGCCAGAAGCUUGACUGCAUUUGCAGUGAAUCUUCGCUCAGCUGAAGACUCUUGAGACUUUGUUCUUCUUCACUGUGUCAUUUUGAGACAAGAAUCAUUUUGUAAGCCAAUUACAAGAAAAGCUAUUUUUGAGGCAUAACUGUACUAAAUAAUCUGCAACUAAAUUUGCUUUUUUGUAAAUUUUAUCCCUGUACUUUAUUGAAAUAUAAGAUUUGGUCCUUAUAUUUUUAAAUUCUACUAUUAAGUCCCUAAAAAUUUUGACAGAAAAAUCAACAAUUCAGUCCCUACCAUCAAAACAAGAGUUAACUUUCUCUUAAAACUAUUAAAAAAUGACCAUAAUGCCUUCUAGUAUAUAUUUUUAUAUUAAAAUAUUAAUUUUUAAUGAUGAUUAGGAUGCUGACGUGAUAUUUCUGUUAAAUCUAACAUCAAAUUUACUGGUAGGUUAUAAAUAAAUUUAGAUAGUUAGUUUAGAGUAUAUUAGUUAAUUUUUAUAAUUUAGAGUAUAUCUGUUAAAAUGCGAAUAGUUCAAAGUUUUUUUUGCCACCAUCCCUUUUGCAAAUUGAUCUUGAAUACUUAUUAUAUAUAAUCUUAUUCAUAAAUAGUUAUAAUAUGUAAGGAUUAAUUUGUAAAAUUAUAGAAAUUAUUUGUCAAUAAUUAAUGUUGGAAAGAAUCCUCUGCCAUGAUUGUAAAUCAAUCAGUGAUCCUCUGUCAUGAUUGUAAAUCAAUCAGUGAUCAAAUCUUACCAUGUUUAGCAUAGCACAAUUCUAGGACAUAAUUGAGGGCACAAUCAAAGGUCUAAUUGUUCAUAUUAUGUACUAUAUAAACUCUGUAACUUACUACACAAGAGGUAAGAAAAUAAAAACAGUUUUCUUCCUAUAAUCUCAAGAUGGUAUCAGAGCGGGUUUGGGUCUAAAAAUAUAGUCAUCCUGCAAUAAUCCUUUACCAGAUACCUUUCCCAACUUCUUUCUCUCACCAAAACAACAAUGGCCGACCUUCCCAGCCCGGUUGACCAAUCCCAGGCAAUAAUUGAUCCAAUAGCAGACCUGUCACAAAAACUAUUCCAGUUAAUUCAGAAUAGCCAAGAUGGAAAUCAGAAAUCAGUGAACCAAUUCACUCUUGAUUCAGCACAGCCACCAUCCGACAUAAAAUUGAAUGAUUCCAAUUAUGUUGUAUGGGCAAAGAUGAUGGAGAUGUUUAUCACGGCGCUACAAGAAGCCGCGAAAGGAGGAGGCACAUGUGUCCCUUAUGAUCGAGAAGGAGGUAUUUUAGGGUUAGAAAGGAGGGCAAAUGACCUUUCUACCCCUGUCUCUUUAAAUAAAUCUAAAUGUGCCUCUGCUUGUUUUAAUUCUUGUAAAAUUAAAUCCCUGGUCUCGGAUGUUUUAGAUAAGUUUGGUUGUAAUCCCAAAACUGAAUCGUUAGCCCCUAAUUCUAUCGGUCAUGCUAACAAGGUACAAAAUACUAAUGGGUGGAUAUUUGAUUCAGGAGCCACAGAUACUAUGACUAAUGAUUCUUCAGAUUUUGUUGUGUCAGCCCCACCCUCAAAAUCCAAUAUUCUAAACGCUACCGGUGGCUCCUUCCCGGUCAUCAGUGGUGGUACCGUUUCUAUAACCCCCACUUUAAAUGUCUCCAACAGCCUCUAUAUACCUUCCUUAUCUUGCAAAUUACUCUCUGUCAGUCAGAUCACCAAACAGUUAAAUUGCAGAGUACUCAUGUAUCCUCAUUUUUGUGUUUUGCAGGAUAUUCAUACGGGCACGGUACUGGGCCGUGGUACUGAGAAAGAUGGACUAUACUAUGUGGAGGAGGUCUCAAAUACUGGGUCAGCUCAUUUAGCUCAAGGGUCCUCAACCCGACAGUUAUGGUUCUGGCACCGGCGCUACGGCCAUCCCUCAAGUGAUUAUCUUCGUACUUUGUUUCAUGAGUUUAAAUCCAUUGACAUUUCAGUUUGUACUUCAUGCGUGCUUGCUAAGAGUCAUAAGAGUACUUAUCAUAUAUCCACAAAUAAAUCUGAUACUCCCUUCUCAAUAAUACACUCUGAUGUAUGGGGGCCUGCCCCGGAAACUGUCUCCCUUGAUUAUAGAUACUUUGUGACUUUUAUUGGUGAUUGCACUCGUGUUACUUGGGUUUACCUGUUAAAACAAAAAAGUGAAGUGGCUGAGACAUUCUGUGAUUUUUUCCGCAUGAUUAAAACCCAAUUUUACAGGACCAUUCAAGUCCUCCGAUCUGACAAUGGGGGGGAAUUUGUCAAUAACCAUCUCCAAACCUUUUUCUGGGAUAAUGGGAUCCUUCACCAAACUACUUGUCCUUAUACACCACAGCAAAAUGGGGUUGCUGAAAGGAAAAAUCGACAUAGCCUUGAGACUGCCAGAGCCCUAUUGUUUGAAGCCCAAGUUCCUCCUAAGUUUUGGUCUGAAGCAGUUGCCACAUCCAUUUACCUCAUCAAUCGACUUCCGUCUCGCGUCCUUAAUUUCCAAUCUCCCUUGCAUACCUUGUCCUCUCAUCACACCAUCCCUUCCCAUCUCAACCUUCCACCUAAAAUCUUUGGCUGCACAGUUUAUGUUCACAUUCCUAAAACACACCGCACUAAACUUGAUCUAUGUGCUCUUAAGUGUGUUUUCUUUGGUUAUGGUGUCCAUAAAAAGGGCUAUCGGUGUUUUGACCCAAUCUCUAAACGGCUCUUCACUACCAUGGACUGCACUUUUCUGGAAGAGGAAUAUUUUUUUCCCUCGCCAACUAGCAGUGAGGGGGAGACAACGGCACAAUCACCACCACUGCCAAAUUGGCUUAGUCAAGAGGGGCCAUAACUUGAUCAUUCUUCUCUUCCUGAGUCUAUACCAGAACUGGGAGACACCAGUCAUUCUUCCCUUCCUGAGUCUACACCAGAACUGGGAGACACUAACCAUCUAGUACAGUCCUUGGAAUCAACAUCACAACCAGAACCUGGCACCGUAGAAUAUCCUGAGGAACACACAACUGAGGUAUGUGAAUCUGAACUUUCUCCUGUUCCUAAUAACCUCACCACUGAACCCAUUUCCCUUGAGGUUCUUGAAACAGGCCAAUAUGUUCUACCCCCUCGGAAUAAUAGAGGAAUUCCACCCAGGAGAUAUGAUCCAGAAUUCGAGGCAGCCAGGUCCAGAUACACUGGCAAACGUUACCAGAGGAGAAAGACUAUCACCUCAGUUGGUCAACUACAGAAAAACAUUUGCUCAGAAUGGAUACCAAAGGAUGCCACAGAGGCCCAAAAGGACAAAAGAUGGGUUGAGGCAAUGGAGAUCGAGAUGGAUGCCCUGGAGAAAAACAAGACCUGGGAAAAAUGCUGGCUACCCAAGGGAAAACAACCAGUGGGAUGCAAAUGGGUGUUUACCAUAAAGUAUAAGUCAGACGGAACGGUGGACAGAUAUAAAGCUAGACUUGUAGCAAAAGGAUAUACUCAGACUUAUGGAGUUGACUAUUCUGAAACAUUCUCUCCAGUAGCAAAAAUUGACACAAUACGGGUCCUAUUCUCUCUAGCUGCAAACCUAGACUGGCCACUUCACCAAUUUGAUGUGAAAAAUGCUUUCUUGCAUGGUGAUCUAGAAGAGGAAGUAUACAUGGAUGCUCCACCAGGGUUCAUGAGUGGAUAUAGAAGGGGAGAAGUGUGUUGAUUGAGGCGAGCCUUGUAUGGGUUGAAACAGUCACCCAGAGUAUGGUUUGGGAGAUUUACUCAAGUAAUGAAGAAAAAUGGAUAUCGGCAGAGUAACUCCGAUCACACUCUAUUCUUGAAGAGGCAAGGAAGGAAGAUCACGUGUUUGAUUAUAUACGUGGAUGACAUGAUUAUAACUGGAGACGAUGUGGACGAAACCAAACAACUGAGGGACAACUUAUUCCAAGAAUUUGAGAUGAAAGACCUAGGGAUUCUAAAAUAUUUUCUUGGAAUCAAAGUUCUCAGAUCAGACCAGGGAAUUUUGAUAUCACAGAGAAAGUACAUUCUUGAUCUGUUAAUUGAAACAGGAAUGAUAGAUUGCAAACCAGUCGAUACUCCGGUAAUGGUCAAUCAUGAGUUAAGUAAGGACUCAAAAGAAGGACCCACAGACAGGGGGAGGUACCAGAGACUGGUAGGAAAACUGAUUUAUUUAUCACACACCAGAUCAGACGUGGCAUAUGCUGUGAGUUUGGUAAGUUAGUUCAUGCAUGAUCCAAAACAAGACAAUAUGGAGGCAGCAUUGAGAAUCGUUUGAUAUCUGAAAGGAACAGCUGGGAUGGGCAUGUUGUUCAAAAAGAAUGGUCAUUUCAAUAUCAGUGGAUAUACGGACGCAAGUUGGGCAGGAGAUCUCUCCGACAGACGAUCUACUUCAGGAUACUUUACCUUUGUCGGAGGAAAUUUGGUAACGUGGAAAAGUAAGAAACAAAAGGUGGUGGCACUGUCAAGUGCUGAAGCAGAAUUCAGGGGAAUAGCAAAAGGACUGGUAGAACUCCUAUGGAUCAGAAAGUUGAUGUUUGAGCUUGGAUUCCCAUCAAAGGAUGCAGCUGAACUCCAUUGUGACAACAAGGCGGCAAUAAGCAUUUCUGAAAAUCCAGUUCAGCAUGAUCGAACAAAAUAUGUUGAAAUAGACUGACAUUUCAUCAAAGAAAAGUUGGACAGUGGUCUGAUAUCUUUACCGUUUGUUCGAUCAGAGGAUCAAUGGGCGGACAUCCUAACCAAAGCAGUAGCUGGACGAAUAUUCCAUGAGGUUUUGGGCAAGUUGGGUAUGCUAGAUCCACAUGAACCAACUUGAGGGAGAGUGUUGGAAAGAAUCAUCUGUCAUGAUUGUAAAUCAAUCAGUGAUCAAAUCUUACCAUGUUUAGCAUAGCACGAUUCUAGGACAUAAUUGAGGGCACAAUCAAAGGUCUAAUUGUUCAUAUUAUGUACUAUAUAAACUCUGUAACUUACUACACAAGAGGUAAGAAAAUAAAAACAGUUUUCUUCAUAUAAUCUCAAGAAUUAAAAUAUUCAGAAUUAAUUUGUAAAAUAGAAGGAGUUAUUUGUAAAUAAGUAUAUUAUUAGGAUCAACUUGUAAAAUUGUAGGUACUUAUUUAUAAAGAGUAAAAACUUUGUGAUUAAAUUUAUAAUAAUAUUAGGAUAAAUUAAAAAAUAUAAAAUUUAAAUUAGAAGACUAAACUAUAAAUCUAAUUAAACGUAUGAAAUUUUAUUGUUUUAGAUGAAAAUAUAUUUUAGAGGGUAUUAUGAUAUUUUUUAAUAGAUUCAAAAGUCUUAAAAGUUUAAAAGGAAUCGUAUUGUAAAGAUAAGAAUCAAUAUAACGUCUUAAUUUGUAUCGAUAAUGCAGUGAUUUUACCAUUUGCAAUUUUUAAUAAAAAUCUGUUGGUAAAUAAAUUAUCUAAUUCAUUGUUAAAAAGUUCGAUGGUAAAUUUUUAUUAAUAACUUUUAAGUCCGUUAAUAAUACUAAUGGAUUUAUUAAUAGAGUUUUGAUUAUUAUUAAUAACAGAUUUUAAAUCUGUUAAGAGAAAAAUAAUUUACUAAUAAACGUGAAAUCCGUUAAGAAAUUACCAACGUAUUGUAAUUCUUAGUCAAUUUAUUGAGUUUAAAUAAUUUUUUAUUAAUUUAAUAAGACUUAAAAUUAUAUUAUUAUUGUUACUAAGUUUUUAAUUUAUACCCAAUGUGUAUUAGAAAUACAUAGAAAGUGAAAAUAAGAGAAAAGUAAAUGGUAUAAAAUGAGAGAAAAUAAUAAAAGAGAAAGAAAAAAGAGAAAAAUAAAGAAAAUGAUAGAAAAAUAAAAAUUAUGAAAAAGAAAGAAGAAUGAGAGUAGGGUAAAAAGAUGAUUAGAGAAACAGAAAAAAAAGUGAACAAAUGAUUGGAGAAGAAAAUAAAUAAAGAGAAAAAAUAUAGAUGGAAAGAAAAUGAUAAAAGAAAUAAUACUAGAAAAACUAAUAUGAAUGAAAAUUAUAAAGAAAAUAAGAAAAUAAUGAGAAAAUGAAAGAAAAAUAUGGAAAAGAAAAUGAAGAAAAUGAAAGAAAAAUUAUGAAGAAUGAAUGAAAAUAAUAGAAGAUGAAAGAGAACGAUAGAAAGUAGGAUAAGAGAUGAAAAAAAAGAAAAAAUAGAAACAAUAAGAAAAAAAAAACUUAUAAGAUAAAAAAGUGAAAUAAAAAAAAAUAGAAAAUGAAAGAAAAUGAGAGAAGGGGAAAAUCUGGAAGAAAGUAAAAUGAUAAAAUGAAUGAAUGAUAAAAAUAUAAAAGUUGGUGUUAUAUUUAUAAAUGCGAAUUACUAAUGAAUUUGUAAUUUAUUAUUAAAUUAAAAAAAUAACUUUUUUCUCUCCAAAAAAUUAUCAAUAGAUUUCAAAUUUAUUAGUAAACCCGUUAAUAACCGAAAAAUAUAAAUCGUAAAAAAAAAAGUGAAAAUUUAUGCAGAUUUUAUUUUAAAUUUACCAAUUGAUAUAUUAGCGAAUAGCAUCCAUCCAUAAAUUCAACAAUUUUUUUUAUGUAUUAAUUUAAUGAUAAAAUUUAAUAAUAGAUUUUUAAAUUCGUUAGUAAUUUUUUAGGCAAAUUACUAAUAUAUUUAGAGUUCGUAAGUAAUUUAAACACUUUUUAAAAUUUACUUAGGAUGUAAACAAACUGAGCAUAACCUAGUUUUGAAGAGUUCAAGUUUGGUUUGUUAAAAAUUUUUCAAACUCGAGCCGAACUCAAGGUUUAAUCAUUUCGAACUCAAGUCGAGUAUUAAUAAUGUCAAGCUUACUCAUUUAGCAAAUAAACUUAGAUGAGUCGAGUUUUUAUCGAAUUUAAUCUUGAAUAAUUCACGAAUAGUUAAAUUUAUUUACAUAUAUAAUGAAUUUUAUUUUAUGAUCAAAUAUAAUUUAGUCACAUUUUUAUUAUCUUUAUUACUAUUUAAUUACACAUUUUUUCAGCUUAAUUUAUGUUUUUAUAGUGUUUUUGCGGAAAAUGGAGAAAAUGGAAAGUUAGAGAAAAAGUGCAGAAAAAACUGGGAAAUUGAUUGGGUCAGAGUGAUUUGGCCAAAUCACCCGCAGGAAACCAAAACAGAAGGCUAAAGGCAGAAACCUGGAAGUAAUUCACAGAAAUGAUUUGGGCAAGUGAUUUGCCCAAAUCACACUAACGCUAGAGAGACCAAUAACGCGGGAAAGAAGAGCAGAAAAUCAAAAUUCAAAAGUGGAGAAGUCCAAUCCUACUUCAAACACUACAAAGUCAAUUCCAAGAGCCACGAGAAGGUCUUUCACUCAAGAAAUUCCAUUCACAAUUAAAUACAAAAUCAAAAGAGAAAUCAAAGACUACAAAAGACCAAGUCAAAAUUAGGAUUUUCAAACCCUAAUUGGACUAGGAUUCUCCAUCUAUAAAAGGGACAGCAUCAAAAACAGCUAGGGAGAUCUCUCCACAGUCGGAAUUUCUGCAAAAACUCGGCAGAAGCACAACAGCCUCCUCUCUUUUCUUUCUUCUUUCUUUUUUGUGAUUUUGUCCACCAUGAGUGGCUAAACACCUUCUUUUCUAGUUGAAGUUGGGAAAUUUCAGAUUUGUGAUGAAUUGAGAGAUUUAAAACUCUAUUAUUAAACUCUUAUUUAUUUUCAAUAUUUAUGCAACUUGAUCUUUCUAUUAUUAUUGCUUUGCUUUUAGAAUCAAUUAAGGUCUAUUACUUUUAAUUGCAUGAGUAAUAUAUUGUUUGAAUGAUUUAGGUCCGUAAUUACUUAGAUUGUUUAAACUCAAGUAUAAUCGGUUGCAUAAUCUAAACUUGACCACGCGGUUGGCAAGGUUAGAAUUAGAUUUCUCUAAAUCUUAAGGCAGUUAACAGUUGAAAAGUAAAAAAAUCCCAAAAACGUUUAUUGGCAACUUGUUAACUAGUGUUUAAUUAGCAAACAUUUCCUAAUCAUACUAAAACUAAGGAGAAAUUUGGAUUGUGAGAAACGUCUUCCACAUCUUAAACUAAUUUAUUGAAAUAAAUAGGGGUAUCAAAAAGAUCAAUGAUCAAUUCUAAAUAAGUUGAAAUAGAUCCAUACUUCAAUUAGAAUCCUUCUCCCAUUGAUUUACUCAUUUAUUUAAUUACUGCUUUCUUUUACUCAAUUGUAAUUCUUCAAAACAAAAUGCCGCCUUUUAUUUACUUUUAUUAUUUAUUUGUCCAAGUCAUUAUUAGGAAAAUUCGUAUUGUCAAAUCCAUGUGGUUUGACCCUAUUGUCACUAUCUACAAAUUAUUUUAUUGAUUGAAAAUAGGUUUAUUUUUUACGGUUUCGACAACCGCUAUCACUUUAAAACUAAUAAAUUUAAAACUAAAUAAUUUUAGUUAAAUAAAUAUAUAUAUAUAAAUUAGCUCCUAAAUUUAUAAAGAUAAGAUCUUAAAUUUUAACCUCUAAAUAUAUGCAAGUUUUAAUAGUGUAAUUAAAGUAUAUAGAGCUGAAUUUUAAAAAAUUUAAAUUUGGUUUAUGAAAGUAUAUGUAGGGUUUAAAAUUAUUUUUAUUAUGAUAUUAAUCUCAGUCUGUUUAACGAGACUACUCACAAGUUGUUCGUGAGCCUGUUCAUGAACUCGAAAAUGAACUGACAUCUUGAGUCUUAACGAGCCGAAUAUUAUGAAAUUUAAACUUGACUCAUUUACUAAAUAAAUUUAAAAAUUAAAUUUGAGCUUGCAUCAUAUAGAAAUAAAGUCAAAAUCGAUCAAGUUUUUAUCGAGUUGAAUCUCGAAUAACUCAUAAAUGGUUUAAUUCAUUUACACCCCUAAAUUUAUUAACAGAUUCAAAUUAUCAAUAAAUUACCAAAGAAUUUAUUAACAGAUUUUAAAUCUGAUAGGAAAUUUCAACACCAAUUAUUUUAUAAAUUUAUAAAGUUUUACAGAAUUUUUAAAUCCGUUAAUAUUAAUUUCAAAUUCGUGGUGAAUAAUAAUUUAUAAAGUUUUAAAGAAUUUUUAAAUCCGUUAAUAUUAAUUUCAAAAUUGUGGUGAACUUUUACAUGAUUUGUUGGUGAAUUUUUACAUAAUUUUUUUAUAUUAAGAAUUAAGAUGAAUUUUUAAAUUUAUUAAUAAAUUCAUUAAAUUUACUAAUGAAUUAAAGCACUAAUAAAAUCUGUUGGUAAUACGAAAAUAUAAAAAUUUCUUGUAGUGAAAAUUGUCCGGACAAAAUAUCUAUAAGUGGAUUGUGUGGUGCUGUGCUCUUCAUUAUCGGUAGAUCUACGAGGAGCUGAGAUUAUUGCAUAUAUAUAUAUAUAAUGUAUUCGAUUAUUUUUAUAUUUAAUAUUAUUUUAUUAAUUUUAUAAAUUAAAUUAUUCAUAUAACUUAAACAUAAUUAUUUUCCUUUUAAUUAUUAAACAAUUAUUAACAAUAUUAAAAAAUAAUCAUAUAUUCUAAUUAAUUAUUAAAAAUUUCUAACAAUAUAUAAUUAAAUAAUUUAAUUAAUUAAUUUUAGUGUAUUCUACCUAAGUAGAUUAUAUAUGUGUGUGUAUUUUUUUAUAUCAACCAUAAAUGUAUUAAUUAUUUUGUAGUUUUUAAUUAUAUAAAUAAAUUACGUAUUAAUAAUAUAAUAUAUUUUUAUAUAUUAAUUAUAUCUAUUUUUUAAUGAAAAUUAUAUAAUUAAUAACUACAUAAAAUAAUAAAAUAUUCUUAUCCAGAGUUAUAUAUAAUAUAUAUUAUAUUACUACAGUUAUUAUUAUUAUUAUUAUUAUUUAAUAUUAAUUAUUUAUUAUUUUAAAAUAAACGUAAAAGGCUAUUACGAUUUUAUUUGUAAAAAUUAAAAUUUAAAAUGAAACAAAAUUAAAAUUAAAAUAAUAAAAAAAAUUGAAAUCAAAUUGAGACUACUGAAAUUACUUAGAACUAUACUAAAUUUCAAUUCUAAAUAUGAUUCUACAUAAAUUUAAUUUGGUUCUGUUUCUUAGCAAAAACUAUAGCUUUUCCUUUUAGCAUGUUGCCUUUUAUGAACUUGUUCAUAAAUAAAUUUGGACAAAAAGUCCUGUUAAAUAGCUGAAGCUAAACUAGCAUUUUAAUCGCUAGUAGGACCAAUUGCAGUUGCUUAUCUCAGUGGCUGCAUGUCUGAUUUUCAUCCUCUUCUUUUGCUUAUAAUUUCUAAACCAAUCAGCAAGUAUCUCUAACAUGCCCAAAAGCUUUCCAAAAGUCUCAAAAUCUAUAUGAAACUCUUUCCUCCACUCCCAACUUUCUAACUUCCUAACUUUUCUUUUAAGAAUGAGGAGGCUGAACAUAUAAUUAUACUAAAAACAAACUCAUAUCUUUAAUGAUGCUUUAAAACACCAAGUUUAUCCCAUAGUUUCUUCAAUCUUCUAAAGUAAACAACAACUGAUAUAGAUUCUUGACUGAAACUACUUAUUUCUUUCUUUAAUUGGUGUAUAAGUUGCCCAAAUCUUUCUUUAAAGCAAGUGUCAUAGUCACAGACAUACUCCAAGUCGAAUAAUUUACUAAAUUUAAAGGUGCAGAUAGAUAUGAGAAUCCUACUUGGAUUAUCUGAGUUUUAAAGAGUAGAAGGAUCUGAAUCAUUUUGCAAUUGGUUUCCUACCUCUCAAUAUGUACCCUGUCAGCCCCACCUUCUCUAACAAACCAUUUUCCAUGGAUGCAGUCACAAAAACUUCAAGAAUGAUGCAUCUUGCAAAAAGAAAAAUACCGUGUACAAACAAGAGCCCAAAGAAAAUUUUAUUGAGUAUAUUACAAGGUUUAGAAAGUGGUAAAAACAUAAGAUGUCUCAUUAUAUACUGCUGAAAGGAGAAAAGAAACAACCAAAACAUCUUUUCUUGCCUAACUUAACUAACAUCUCAAACAGUAAGAAACAAUGCGUUUCACAUUCAUAACACCACACAAAUGUAUCGCAAAAUGCACCAUAUAAAUAACUCAAAUGGUGGUCCAACACUAAAAUAUAUCCGUUAUAUACCAUAUUGACAAAGAGGAUGUUUGCUUUUCCCUCAAUUCCCAUAACAUUUUCUGUUGUCUAUAAUUUUAGUGACUUUUCAUCCAACCAACAGCUGUAGAAGUCUAGUGAUUUUCUUACCUUGUAUUCUGGGACUGUAUAUCCUGCGCCCUGCAUUUAUAGUGUAGUAUAAUUGUUAAAUCAAUUCUCAAUUAAAGCACACCGGUUUAUAAUCAUUAGUUUCAUUAUAAUUAAAAAUUAUAAUAACAAAGCAAAAAUGAAUUGCUUAUACCUUUAUGGUUAGAAAGGUGAAGUUGUAGUCAUAUCCUUGCAAGUACCUACAAGAGAAAUGAUAGCAUUUUGAAAGGUCAUUGAGCACAAAAAUAAAAAUAGAUAAAGAUUCUUAGGCAUUGUAGUAUGGAACUAAUUAGUUUUAGUUCUCAACUCAAUGUUAGGACUGAGCUCUCGAGUUAAGGCUGUAGUAGCAGCAAAAAAAAAAAAUUGUAAUGGAGAUGGUGGGUUUACCAGCAACGUGAUGAUUAGAAAUCCAUGACCUCCAUUCAUCAACAAUCUUAUAUCAAAGAGAUCUAGUCCAUGUCAGAAUUCAAGCGAAAGGCACACACAUAUCAUGGUUUUCACCACAGGUCAUUUGCAGUGUUAGAAAUUUUCGUUUUGUGGAAGAGAAUCACAGCUGAUUGAAAUUAAAAAUGAUAUUUGAAGAAGUUAGUUAAAUUACAUAUUCUAUUAUAUUUGAAAAAGGUAAUUACCAAGUUGCGCUCCAAGACACACUUGAAUGGUCAAGAUAUAACAACUUUAGUUUGCUAAUCCCUCAUUGCGCACCUUUAAAAGCCUCAGAAUGAGAUUAUUAUUCCGCGAUAAAUGUACUAGCAAUUCUGUGGUAGCAUCAUCAGCAGUGAACCCCCUUAUCAACCAUUUCGGUGAUUAGUUCUGAUGCUUUUGGUAAAUCCUCAUGCAUGAGAAACCCUUGAAUGAUGAUAUUAUAACAACAAUUAUUUGGUAAACAUCCUACCUUUUCCAUGUCUUUAAAUACGUUAUACGCUUCAUCAAUUAAUCCUUGUUGGCAGAGUCCUUUCAUAAUUGCAUAAUAUACAUAAACAUCAGGUUGUAAACCAAUUUCAAAAAGACUAGAAAAAAGUUCCUUGGCAUCAUUAAUCUUCCCAACUUUGCACAUACCAUUGAUCAGACUGCUAUAGAUCACAACAUUAGGUUUCAACUGACUUUUCUCCAUUGCUUUCAAUAGUGUGAGUGCCUCAUCGAGAUUCCCCUGUCUACACAAGCCAUCAAUCAUAAUUGAGAAGGUUACUAUAUUUGGUUGUUGACCAUGAGAGCACAUAUCCUUAAAGAGCUCUUUUGCAUUUUGGGGCCUCCCUGCUUGAAACAUACCCUCUAUAAGAGUAGAAUAAGUAACAACAUCAGGAACUAAACCUUUAUGAGACAUUUCAACAAAAAUAUCCUUUGCAUCAUCUAUCAUUUUGCACUUGCAAUAUCCAUUGAUCAAAAUGCUGUAGCUAAAAAUGUCAGCUAUUUCAUUGGUCACCGUCAGAUCAAAUACCUUUCUAGCCUUAUCAAUUUGCUUGCACAGACAAUAUCCAUCCAUCAAUGAAUUAUAAUUGACAACAUCAGGUUCCACACCUCUUUGAAUCAUUAUCUUGAUUAUAUUCUGUGCAUUUGAAACCAGUCCUUUCUUACAAAGAGUGUCGAUCAAUAUAUUGAAGGUAAAAACAUCAGGGGAUAUGUUCCUCCCCACCAUUUCUUUCAACAAGGCCAAAGCUUCCUUGAAUUGGUCUGAAAUGCAAAGACCAUCAAUUAAGGAAUUGUAGGUGACCACAUCAGGCUCUACACCUCUUUGAAUCAUUACAUUGAAUGUAUUUUGAGCCUCUGAAACCAUUCCAUCCUUACAAAGAGCAUUGAUCAAUACACUGAAGGUAUAAACAUUUGGUAAUAUGUUUUGCUCCACCAUUUCAUUCAUCAAGGCCAAAGCUUGGUUCUUUUGGCCUAAUUUGCAAACACCAUGAAUUAAACCAGUGUAAGUGAUGACAUCAGGUGAAAUGCCCUUAUUCCUCAUUUGAGAGAAGAGCUCUAAAGCCUCACCAACUAGCUCAUCCUUGCAAAGGGCGUGAAUGAUUGCAUUGUAUGUCACAACAUCUGGCUCACAACCUCUAUCAGCCAUUCCCUUUAGCAGCCCAAUAGCCACGUUUGUUUUCCCAAAUUUACACAUUCCGUUUACUAUCACAUUAUAAGUAUAAACAUUAGGUUGAUAACCACGUGCAACCAUAUCAUCGGAAAAUUUCACUGCUUUAUCCAUUUUACCCUUCAUACAAAGCCCAUUAAUUAAGGUAGUAAAUGUCACAGUGGUAGGCUCCAAUCCGAAUUUGAGCAUCUUACCAAAAACAGAGAAGCCAAAAUCCACAAGGUGUAAACGGCAGAAGCAAUUAAUUAAGAUGUUAAGAGAAUAAACAUUGUGAGAGAUUCCUAGCAAUUCAAUUGUUUUGGACAUGGAAAGGACAGUAUGAUAUUGUUUCAUUUUCACAAGGGCAGAUAAGAAUCUAUUAAAUGGAGCCCUAAAAGGCAGAGGAUGCAUAUGAAUUACAUGAUUGAAGGACGCAAUGGCACCAUCAAGGUGAGUAAAAGAAGCAGAUUUGAAAUUAUUUGUCAAGAAGUGUGCAUCUUCAAGUGUGGAAGUAGAAGAAUGGCAAAAAUUGGUAAAUAAGAAUAGGAAUGGAGAUUGAAUGUUACCAAUUGCCCCUUGUAGCUGAAGAUGGAAGCUCCUGCUCUUCCUCCUCGAAGGCAUCUUCAUCAUCAUCGAUCUCUUGUCAGUUGUUUUUAGGGAUGGAUCGGAGAUUGGGAAUGAGGAAAGGAAAUAGAGAAUUGGAAAAGGAAGGCUCUCUGCCUGCUGGUAAAGGAAAUGCAUUACUCUGUCGUUUAUAUGCACCACAUUUUGUAAUUUUUUAUUAAAUUUUCAUAUAAAAAUAUUAUUUAAUAGCAAAUUAAAUUUAUCAUUUGUAGAUACCUAAUUAAAGGCAGUUAUAUAAAUUGUUAAUUUUAUUUUUAAUAUUAAUAAAAUUUCAUGAAAAAUAUAUUUAAUUUUUAGCUUAUAUAAUUUUUUAUUAUUAAUUAUUUUAUUUUAUUAUAAUAAAAUUAAUUUUUUUACCAAACUUUACUCUUAUAGGAAUUGUUUAGCGCAUUUUUAUUUUGACAUCUAUUUAGAUAAUAUUACGAUUUAAUUAAUGUAAUAAAAAAAUUAAUAUAUAAAAUUAUUUCAAAAUAAUAAAAUUUUGAAAUGCUCAAACUCACUACAUAUAUUUCGCAUUUUCAAUUUUAUUUGUUAUUAAUAUUAACGUAAAAUUAUAAUAUAUAAUUUUUUUUCUAUAGAUUUAAUAUACAGUAUAUUGUAUUAUAAAUUAUAAGAAAUUAUUUUUAAAAUAUGAAUAAUACUUAUGUACAAAAUAUCAUAAAAGUUAAAAAAUUAAAUUAAAACAUUAAAAUUCAUUAAAAUUAUAAAUAUUUUAUUUAUAUGAUCACAUAAUAAAUUUUAAAUUAAAAAAUUAAAUUAAUGUGUGAAACUAAUCAUAAAAAUAUAAAAUUAUUAGCAUGAAUUAUUUAUUCGGAAUUUUUAGCCAAAAACUCAGAUAUCUAUCAUUAUAAAAUUAAUACUUUUAAUAAUUUUUUAAGUAGAAAGUUUUAAAUUUUAGUUAGUUAUUUGUUUUAGAUUAUAAUGAAUUUAAUUUCAAUUUAAAUUAAAAAGUAAUAUAGUUAAUUAAUUAAAUAUUUUUAAAUAGCAAUAAAAUACAAUAAAUUUAUAAUUAUUAAAUGUAGUUUGACAAUUUAAAUAAUAAUAGCUUCUUAAUUAUUUAUAUUUAAAUUAUCAUUUUUAUAUCUUAAAUUCUAAGAUUAUCUUUUAUAGACAUGUAUAAGAUAAACUAAAUUAUAUAUAUAUAUAAAGAAAACUAAAUUACUCUCCAAUCUUCAUGUUAUAAUAUUAUAUAAUUAAUUAUUUUUACUAGUUUAAAAAUAUGUUAUAAGAGAGACAACACACUUAAUAUAUCAUAACUUAUAUGAUUCUGAGCGAUACAUUCUACUAAAAAAUAAAAUUCAGAUAAUUAAAGGUGUUUAAUUUUAGAGCCAAAAGAUCGAAAAACUCUUGAGUUUCAUCAUUCAAAGUGUUAAAUGGGUGUUGAGACCUUAAGAUUUCAGCCUUAAAAUUAAUAUCAACAGGAGGUCUCAACCGCCUUUGAAAUCCAAGGAUUAUAUGACAGUCAACUCAAGACUGAAACCCAAGGGUAAUGACUAUUGAGUUGAAGGCUUCGGCCUACUAAGCCAAAAUCCAAAUAGACGAUAUUAUUCAAAUCACGUAAAAGUCGUAUGAUAAUUAAGACUUCAAAUCACAUAUGAGUAAAAAUGUUCUCGGAGUAAAAUUUUACAAUCUAGAACCAAUAUAGAUUUCAAAUAGUCCUACCAAGAGUCGACCAGCUUUAGAUCUAAAAGACACCUCAAGUAUGUUAAGUUAUCUUUUAAUCAAACCAUUCUCUAUACCUUUAUUUUGAGAUUUAUGAUAGAUCACUUACUAAUUUAAGUAUCAAAAAGAUAACCCACAAUAAUUCAUAUCUGAACGUUAUAUCUAUUGAGCCUGAGAAGAUCAAUAUACCAUCACUAAAAAUGGUUAUUGAUAUUAAUUGCACUACAUUUUACAUAUAUUUUAGGACAAAUCUAUACAUGGAUUUAUCUGAAUUCAUAUUUUACUAGGUAUAGAACCAAUCUUUAUUCAUAUUGUUUACAAAGAAGCUGAAACAUGGUAAACUAAAGACUUUUUUUAUUAUUUUUUUAAAAAAUUAAAAAAACUUAUUAAAUUAAGAAAAAUUAGAUGUAUAUUUGCACCUCUAAACUUUAUUAAAAAAAUUAUAUCCACAAAAAUUAAAUUAUUUUCUUAAGUUAAACUACUUUCAUAUAUUUUAUUUAUAAUUUUGACUCCACUUAUUUACGAAAAAUAAUUACUAUUUGAAUAAUAUUAAAAAAUAUUUUUUAAUAAAAUAACUUAUUUUCUCUUAUUUAAUUUUAAUUUAAAAAUAAAAUUUAUAAACUAAUUUAUAUAGCAGUCUUAAUAAGAUACUCAAAAUGCAGACAAUGAUUUUUUUUUUUUAAUUUAUUUUUCUUAAAAUAACUUAAUUUUUAUUUUAAAUAAAAAAUAUUUUCUAUUAACUAAAUUUUAAGAGUGUUUUGAAUGUUGGAAAAUAUGGACAAUUAUUACAAGAAAAAUAUUCAUUAAUGAGAGAAAAAAUUAUCAUUAAAUAUUAAAAAUUAAUCAUUGAAAAAUUACAAAAUUAUUUUUAAUUUUGUGAAAACAAAAAAUAAAAAUCAUGAAGUGAUACUAAAUGCACUUUAAAUUAGUCGUUAUAUAUAUAUAUGAGUGCAAGUGUGUAGAAAGUGAAUUAAGAAAUUAAAAUAUAAAAGAGUAAAUUAUUGUUUGAUUUUUGUACUAUUUUAAUUUUUUUUUAUUUCUAUGUCAUUCUGUUAAAAUAAAUCAUUAUAUUAUUUAUUUUUUUAAUUAUAUAUAUAUAAUUUAUUUUUUCUAAUUAAAGCUAAAAAUAUAUUUAUUAAUAUUUUAUUCGAUAAAAAUAUCAAAGAAUUUGAUUUUAUAAAAUUGAAUGAUUUGAAAAUAAAAAUUGAAUAGUUAAUUUUAAUAAAAUACAACGAUCUAUUAACAAUUUAAUCUUAUAAAAAAGAAUUAUUCAAAACUCUCUAAAGUUUCAUCAAACAGUGAGAAUCCCCUUGCAAGUUUCAUCAAACUUAUCAGUAGUGCAAGUAAGUACAAUUGGCCCAUCAAUUCUGGAGUCGAGAUCACCAUUCUGAUAUUGUUUAAUCAAUUCUUGUAAUGCCAGAAACUUCAGAUUCUCUACUUGAACUUGAUAUCUCUUGCUCUCGUUACCCACGUAUAUGGCUACAUAGCCUUUUCGAAUUUGUGGAGUUUUGACUUUUUGAUCAGUGGAACUGGAGAGCAAUUUAUAAGAAAAAAAUGACUAGAUUGCAUAACGUUGAUCUAAAAUUUUGUAAAUAAAAUCCAUUUUCCUGCUAGAAGCUCUCGACGAUGACAUUAUUGAUGAAAUUUUUUUAAGUUAAAAAAACUAUUUGAGAGUUAAAGAAUCCGAAAGAAAAUUGUAUUACAAAGAAUAAUAGUUGGGAUUCAAUUUAUAUAUAGAAUGAAUGAGUUUUCCUGAUGAAAUUUGGAUUUCCAGCAGUAAGUAAAGUUUUUUAGCUGGAUUAGUUUAUUAAUUGGUUUAAAAAAGAUACAAAUUAAGGCAGUGAAAAAGAAUCUUUAUUAAUUAUAUAAUUAUUUACAUUUUGAUUUAUUAAUGGUAAUUGCUAAAUAUGGUAAUUAAGUGAUGCUUAAGUUUAUAAUUUUGAGAAUAAUAAGAUAUGACGAUAAUAUUUAUUCAGUUUUAUGGUUUUUAGUUUCUUAAAAUGGCAGAAUUAGUUUAUAGGUCAGUAGAUUUUUUGUUAGGAGUUUGAAAUGGGAGAGAUUAUCACAAAUUAUAUGCAAUAUUCACACUUAAUUAAUUCUCUAAAUUUUUCAUACAGAAUGUUGAAAUGGUUAUCUUUGAUUAAAAAAAAGAAAUGGUUAUAAUAAAAAAUUAAAUAUUUUAUUUUUUUAUAUCAACACCAAUUUUGUUAAAAAUAACAAAAUUAUUAAAAUUAUUGAAUAAAUUAACUAAAAUUAAUAAUGAGUGAAAAUAUUGAAUUAACAGAAAGAUUUUGAUUUUUUUCUUUUUGUUAUUUAAUUUUUUUAAAGAAAUGAAGAUAACUAUUUUUUAACAAAAAGUGGGGCCAUUGAAACUAGAAUUAGCUGCUUUGAUUCAAUUUUUCUUUUCUUUUUUUGUAAAUUUUAUGUUGAUUCCCUUCAAUUUUUUUUUCUUACUAGAAUUUAUUUUCUUUUUGUAGUUUAUUAACUAUCAUACAUUACAAAAUAAUAUUUAAUGGAAAAUUUUAAUUAUAGUUUUAUUAAUAAUGAUGUUUAUAUUAAUUUUAUAUUAUUUAAUUUUAUAUAAUAAGAUAAAUAAUAAAAAGUAAAAAUACCUUUUAUAUAUAUAUAUAUAUAAGAGUUUAAUUUAUGUAAGAGUUUUCUUUAUAAUAAAGUUAUAUAUUUAAUUUAAUUAANNNNNNNNNNNNNNNNNNNNNNNAUAUAUAUUUUGAGAGUUUAAUUUAGGUAAGAGUUUGUAAAAUUAUAAAUAACAAACAGAUUUAUAAAUCAUUUGCAAAUAAAAGUGUAAUCGUUUAUAAAAUUAAAAAGAUACAUAGAUACAUGUAUGAAUUUGUUCAUACAUACAAAUGUGUGAACCAUUUGUAAACUUAAAUGCUCAUAAACAAAUUCACAAAUGAAAAUUUGUUAUGGAGUUAUAAUCCAUUUUUAAAAUUAGAUGUACACAUAUGGAUUUGUAGGGGUGAGCAUUCGGUCGGUUCGGUUCAAAAUCGAAUCGAACUGAAAAAACCGAAAACCUAAAUUUUAGUAUUUAUGAAAAUCGAACCGAACCGAUUUUGGUCAGAAACCGAAUCGAACCGAACCGGUCUGAUUCGGUUCGAUUCGGUUCGUUUGAUCAGUUUCGAUUUUUAAUGAUUUUUUUUAUUUUUUACACUUUAUUUUUAAUAUUUUAAAAUUUAAUUAAAAUAUUUUAAUUUUAAUAUGAUUUAAUUUCUCUACAUUAUUGAAAAAACAUAUUAUUAUCACUAAUCGGUUCGGUUCGAUUUUUUCAGUUUUUUUCUGAUUAAAACCGAACCGAACCGAAAUAACUGAAAUUUUUGAAAUUAAAAACCGAACCGAACCGAAAUGUAUAAAAAAUCAACUAAAUUUUAAAUCGAUUCGGUUCGGUCGGUUUUUUUGAGUUUGAACCGAAUACUGCUCACCCCUACGGAUUUGUAAAUAGAAGUGUAACUAUUUGUAAAAUUAAAAAGACAAACGGAUUUACAAAUAAAUAUGCAAUUGAUUUGUAAAAUUAAGAAAAAUUAACUAUUUAAUCAUUAUGAUAUGAUAAAAUUUAUCCGUUGUUCCCUUUAUUUUAAAAAAUAUAUUAAAAUAUUUUUAAAAUUUUAAAAAAUUUACUAAUUAAUCACUCCGUUACUAUAGGGACUAAGUAGUAAUCUUUUCUAAAAUUAAAGGACUACAAACAUAUUUACAAAUAAAUAUGAAAAUAAAAAUUAAAUGGAUAUAGAAUAAUUUGUAAAUGGACUUAUAAUUAGCUUGUGAAAUUAAUACAAAUAAAUUUAUAAACGAAUAUAUAUAAGUCAUUUAUAAAUUUAAUUUGAUAUAAAUAAAUUUAUGAUAUAGAAUUAUAAAAAAGAAUAUUUAUAUUUUUGCUAUUUCCAUUUGUAAAGCUAUAACAUUCAUAAAUGAAUUUAUAUCGGUUUAUAAAUUCCAUUUAUAUUUUAAAAAAUUCUUAUAGUAAAGGAUGAAAGAGUGAACAAUCAUAAUAAAUAGAAAAUCUUUCCAAAACAAUUAAACAAACUAUAUCAGAAGAAUUGAAGAGUUGGUUAAGAUUAUGCAGUCUAUCAGUUGUUCUUAAUUUUUAUCUUUUUCAAAAAUAUAAAAAUAAGAGUUGAUCAAUAAAAUAUAACAUGUUUCGGUUUGGAGAGUUGAUUGAGACUAUUUAGUUGUAUUCAAUUUUUAUCUUUUUCAAAUAUAUAUAUAUAUAUAAAUUUCCGAAAAGCAAAGAAACCAAAAUCCAGAAGGUGUAAAUGGAAAAAGAAACAUUUAAGAAUCUAUUAAAUAUCAAGAAUUCAGUUGUUUUAAACAAGGAAAUGACAAAGUACGUAAUAUUGUUGCAUGGCAUUUUCACAAGGGCAAAUAAGAAUCUAUUAAAUUGAGCCUACAAGGCAAAGGAUGCAUAUGAGUUACUGUUAGUAGACAGACCUUGCUAAUUUAUAAACGCUCAAUCAUAGAAAGAAGAAAGGGAUGCAGGUUACCAAGAUCAAUCACAUUAGAGAUUUUGACAAGUAUAAUUUUGACAAUUCAAUUAUUUCCCAUUCCCAUUUGUUCUUCACCCAACAGCCCAUAUUUAACAUCAACACAAAUAGGUUAGCUGCUAAAUUUAAUAGUCUGCUAAAGGAGAAUUUGAGAGCAAUAUUACCAACCGAUCGUCUCUCAUUCCAAAAUUUCAUUUUCAUCUCAUUCCCCACAGCAAAUCUGAUAUGAAUUAAAGGAGAGAAGGAAGAGUUCAUCGAAAGUAGCAUAGCCUCGAAUGUCUUUCUGAAGGGAAGAAAUGCAAUUUCCUGGAGCAAGAGAGAUACCCUUCUCCAAAUUGAAAGAAUAUUUGGAUAGAAGUUGAACUCAGAGUGAAUCCCUAUGAUUUUCAAAUCUCCAAAGCCAUUUGAACAAAAGAGCUUGAAUUUGAAGAGAGAUCUCUUUCAUGCCUAAGCCUCCUUUCUUUUUAGGCAACAAAAGAGUAUUCCAUUUAAUCAGAUGAAGUUUCUUUGUACUGACAUUUUUCCUGCCACCUUUGAUUAUACCUGUGUUAUAUAUAGAGCUAACCUGCCUUUUAUGAACUUGUUCAUAAAUACAUUUGGACAAAAAGUCCUGUUAAAUAGCUGAAGCUAAACUAGCAUUCCAAUCGCUAGUAGGACCAAUUGCAGUUGCUUGUCUCAGUGGCUGCAUAUGUCUGAUUUUCAUCCUCUUCUUUUGCUUUUCCCUCAAUUCCCAUAACAUUUUCUGUUGUGUAUAAUUUUAGUGACAUUUCAUCCAACCAACAGCUGUAGAAGUCUGGUGAUUCUCUUACCUUGUAUUAUGGGACUGUAUAUCCUGCAACCUGCAUUUAUAGUGUAGUCUAAUUGUUAAAUCAAUUCUCAAUUAAAGCACACUGGUUUAUAAUCAUUAUUUUCAUUAUUAUUAAAAAUUAUAAUAAUUAAGCAAAAAAGAAUUGCUUAUACCUUUAUGGUUAGAAAGGAGAAGUUGUAGUCAUAUCCUUGCAAGUACCUACAAGAGAAAUGAUAGCAUUUUAAAAGGUCAUUGAGCACAAAAAUAAAAACAAAGAUUCUUAAUCAUUGUAGUACGGAACCAAUUAGUUUUAGUUCUCAACUCAAUUUUAGGACUGAGCUCUCGAGUUAAGGCUGUAGUAGCAGCCAAAAAAAAAAUUGUAAUGGAGAUGUUGGGUUUACCAGCAACUUGAUGUAGAAAUCCAUGACCUCCAUUCAUCAACAAUCUUAUAUCAAAGAGAUCUAGUCCAUGUUUGAAUUCAAGCGAAAGGCACACACAUAUCAUGAUUUCCACCAUAGGUAAUUUGCGGUUUUAAAAAUUUUUGUUUUGUGGAAGAGAAUCACAGCUGAUUGAAAUUAAAAAUGAUAUUUGAAGAAAUUAGUUAAAUUACAUAUCUAUUAUAUUUGAAAAAGGUAAUUACCAAGUUGCGCUCCAAGAUACACUUGAAUGGUCAAGAUAUAACAACUUUAGUUUGCUGAUCCCUCAUUGCGCACCUUUAAAAGCCUCAGAAUGAGAUCAUUAUUCCGCGAUAAAUGUACUACCAGUUCUGUGGUAGCAGCAUCAGCAGAGAACCCCUUAUCAACCAUUUCAUUGAUUAGUUCUGAUGCUUUUGGUAAAUCCCCAUGCUUGAGAAACCCUUGAAUGAUGAUGUUAUAACAAGAAUUAUUUGGUAAACAUCCUACCUUUUCCAUGUCUUUAAAUACGUUAUACGCUUCAUCCAUUAAUCCUUGUUGGCAGAGUCCCUUCAUUAUUGCAUUAUAUACAUAAACAUCAGGUUGUAAACCAAUUUCAAAAAGACUAGAAAAAAGUUCCUUGGCAUCAUUAAUCUUCCCAACUUUGCACAUACCAUUGAUCAGACUGCUAUAGAUCACAAAAUUAGGCUUCAACUGACUUUUCUCCAUUGCUUUCAAUAGGGUGAGUGCCUCAUCGAGAUUCCCCUGUCUACACAAGCCAUCAAUCAUAAUUGAGAAGGUUACUAUAUUUGGCUGUUGACCAUGAGAGCACAUAUCCUUAAAGAGCUCUUUUGCAGUUUGGGGCCUCCCUGCUUGAAACAUAGCCUUUAUAAGAGUAUGAUAAGUAAUAGCAUUAGGAACUAAACCUUUAUGAGACAUUUCAUCAAAAAUCUGCUUUGCAUCAUCUAUCAUUUUGCACUUACAAUAUCCAUUGAUCAAAAUGUUGUAGCUAAAAAUGUCAGCUAUUUCAUUGGUCACCAUCAGAUCAAAUACCUUUCUAGCCUUAUCAAUUUGCCUGCACAGACAAUAUCCAUCCAUCAAUGAAUUAUAAGUGACAACACUAGGUUCCACACCUCUUUGAAUCAUUAUUUUGAUUAUAUUCUGUGCAUUUGAAACCAGUCCUUUCUUACAAAGAGUGUCAAUCAAUAUACUGAAGGUAAAAACAUUAGGGGAUAUGUUCCUCCCCACCAUUUCUUUCAACAAGGCCAAAGCUUCCUUGAAUUGGUCUGAAAUGCAAAGACCAUCAAUUAAGGAAUUGUAGGUGACCACAUCAGGCUCUACACCUCUUUGAAUCAUUACAUUGAAUGUAUUUUGAGCCUCUGAAACCAUUCCAUCCUUACAAAGAGCAUCAAUCAAUACAUUGAAGGUAUAAACAUCUGGUAAUAUGUUCUGCUCCACCAUUUCAUUCAUCAAGGCCAAAGCUUGGUUCUUUUGGCCUAAUUUGCAAACACCAUGAAUUAAACUAGUGUAAGUGAUGACAUCAGGUGAAAUGCCCUUAUUACUCAUUUGAGAGAAGAGCUCUAAAGCCUCACCAACUAGCACAUCCUUGCAAAGUGCGUCAAUGAUAGAAUUGUAUGUCACAACAUUUGGCUCACAACCUCUAUCAGCCAUUCCCUUUAGUAGCCCAAUAGCCACGUUUGUUUUCCCAAAUUUACACAAUCCGUUUACUAUCACAUUGAAAGUACGAACAUUAGGUUGAUAACCACGUGCAACCAUAUCAUCGAAAAAUUCCACUGCUUUAUCGAUUUUACUCUCCAUACAAAGCCCAUUAAUUAAGGUAGUAAAUGUCACAGUGGUAGGCUCCAAUCCGAAUUUGAGCAUCUUACCAAAAACCGAGAAGCCAAAAUCCACGAGGUGCAAGUGGCAGAAGCAAUUAAUUAAGAUGCUAAGAGAAUAAACAUCGUGUGAGAUUCCUAGCAAUUCAAUUGUUUUGGACAUGGAAAAGACAGUGUUAUAUUGUUUCAUUUUCACAAGGGCAGAUAAGAAUCUACUAAAUUGAGCCCUAGAAGGAAGAGGAUGCUUAUGAAUUACAUGAUUGAAGGAAGCAAUGGCAUCAUCAAGGUGGGUAAAAGAAGCAGAUUUGAAGUUAUUUGUCAAGAAGCGUGC